rnacentral:rRNA from 1 species
GUCCACGCCGUAAACGUUGGGCACUAGGUGUGGGUUCCAACCAACGGAAUCCGUGCCGCAGCUAACGCAUUAAGUGCCCCGCCUGGGGAGUACGGCCGCAAGGUUAAAACUCAAAGGAAUUGACGGGGCCCGCACAAGCGGCGGAGCAUGUUGCUUAAUUCGAUGCAACGCGAAGAACCUUACCUGGGUUUGACAUGCAGUGAAAAGCCGUAGAGAUACGGUGUCCUUCGGGCGGCUGCACAGCUGGUGCAUGGCUGUCGU